rnacentral:rRNA from 1 species
AGAGGGCGUGAAACCGUUUAGAAGGAAACGAGAGGCGCCGCAGUUUGCCUUCGAGACUCAGCCGACCCGUCGCCGUCUGGUGGCUGGCCGGUGCAUUUCUCGUUGGCUUACACUGAGGGCCGUGCUUGUCGCGCUUUUCCAGUCGUUUAGGGAUGCACUUCGGUGAUGAUCUGGCGGCUGCGAAUUUUGCUUCGGGUACGGUUUGCAGGGCAUUCUGUAAAGCUCGAUGCGGUGUGAUCACUGUUUGCUGCUUGUCUUUUGGCCGUUGGCCGGCUGCCUUGCAGUGCGUUGUGUGAUCUUCGCGUUGAGAGAUGCCUGCUCGGUGUGAAUGUCGGCUACCCUCCCGACCCGUCUUGAAACACGGACCAAGGAGUCUAACAUGUGCGCGAGUCAGUGGGUGUAUCAAACCUACGGGCGAAAUGAAGGUAAAGGCCAACUCGGUUGGCUGACACAUGAUCCAUUCGGCUUGCCGUUUGGCGCAGUGUGGUCCCAUCUUGGAUGCUUGUCAUCGAGGUGGAGAUUGAGCGUACAUGUUGGGACCCGAAAGAUGGUGAACUAUGCCUGAACAGGAUGAAGCCAGAGGAAACUCUGGUGGAGGUCCGAAGCGGUUCUGACGUGCAAAUCGA